GCCAUUUCAAAGCUCUACAUAAGCUAAAACAAAUAAACCAACCCCGUCUUGUUGACCUAGAUUACUGCUUAAACAAAGUUAUUCCCAAUAUUCCCUUCAUCUAAUGAAGUUCCUCCAAAUUUCAUGAUCCUUGUGACAAUCCACCCCAGACUAUGGUGAGAGACCCAGAGCUGCAGCAGUUUUGGUUGUGGUUAUUCUGACAUUGACCCGAAGGGAGCAAGAAUGUUUCUCAGGAGCCCUUGCCUGGACUCCCCUUCCAGACCACAACUUCCCCGGUGAUAUGGGACCCUGGAGGAGGAAGUCUACAAUGUGGGAGAGAUGAGUUACCAGGAAGAUAACCUUUGCACUCAGAAGGCUUGCGAACCCCAGAGGAGACUGUCUGUCUGAGAGAUCACCUUACCCACACUGUGGAAUAAAAAUAUUGCCUCUGACAUUAGGGAACUGGCAUUCCCCUCCUCCACUGUUUGAAAAGAUACCAGAGGUAGAAUCUUCAUCCUUUGUUCACUGAUGCCACCCAAGCACCUAGACCAGCGAUGGCAAAUUUAAAACAUUUAAAAAUUGAUGCCUUCCAGUUGUUUGCACACAUUUAGAAUUUU
rnacentral:lncRNA from 1 species